GGCCGCGCAGCGGCAAGGUAGAGCAGCGGACUGAAAAUCCGCGUGUCGGUAGUGGGUCUGCCUCUGGCCACCA
rnacentral:tRNA from 1 species